rnacentral:lncRNA from 1 species
AGAACAGACUAGGAAGGGCUGAGGAGGAGGCAGGAGGCCAUCUACUGUUAUAUGGGAUGUGGAGUGUGACCCGGAAAGGUCAAGUGUGACUCUAAGGGCUUUUUGUGUACUGAUCUUUUAUCCUGCAACCUUGCUAAACCCAUUUAUUAGUUCUUCUUGUCUUUUAGUGGCAUUUAUUAGUUGUUCUAGUGUUUUAGUGGAUUCCUUGGGAUUUUAUACAAAAGCGUGUCAUUUGUGAAUAGAGAUCAGUUUAUCUCUUCCUUUCUAAUCUGGAUGCCUUUUAUUUCUUCUCCUUGCCUAGCUGCCCUAUCUAGAAGCUCCAGUACAAUAUUGACUAGAAGCAGCAAGAGUGGACAUCCUUGUCUUGCUCCUGAUUUCAGGGAGGAGGCAUCCAGUCUUUCACCUUUGGAUGGCUGUUCACUGUAUCAUCCAGGCUGGUCACCAAUUCCUGGCUUCAACUGAUCCUCCCACCUCAAGCCUCCUGAGUAGCUGGGAUCACAGGCACAAGCCACUGGACCCAGCUUUAAUUGUUUAAGUGUUUCAUAGAAUUCAUUAUUGAAGCCAUUUGGGUCUGGGCUUUUUUGAUUACUUAUUUUGAUUAUUAAUUCAAUCUCUAUUUGUUGUAGGUCUAUUCAGAUCAUCUGUUUGUGUCUUUAGAGGAAUUUGUCCGUUUUAUUUAAGUUACAGUGUUUUGGGCGUAAGCAAUUUUAAGGAGAAAGUUAUCCUUAACCAAGAUGGGAAAGGUCGAGGCAGGGUGGUACAGGGAUUUUACCUCCCACCAGGUAUCUCCCACAAACUCCCCCUAAUAUAAUACCGGCGGAGUUUGGGCUGUGGCUUUGGCUGUGUUGAGUCUCAGAUGCCUGUUGGGCCUCCUCAUGGAAACGCUGGUGGGCGAUUGGAUGAGCAAGUCACCGGCGUGGCCCAGGUUGGAGACUGGGAAUUGUCACCACAGAGAGAGCCUUUAGAGCUGUGAGACAGGAGGAGGCGCCAAGGAGCCAUUGCUCAGGUGGAGGGGAAGUCGAGGCAUGGUGCUUGGGCCUAGGGGCAGCACUUGGGAGUAGUCAGCCUGAAAGGUGAGAAGCCAGGAGAGGGGUCCCCAGCUUAUGGCCUGGGAGCUAACUCAGAUUUGGCGAGUGCAGGUUUUGUGGAAUGGUGGUGUAUUAGUCCGUUUUCACGGUGCUAAUAAAGACACACCCGACACUGGGCAAUUUACAAAAGACAGAGGUUUAGUGACUUACAGUUCCACAUGGCUGGGGAGGCCUCACAAUCAUGGUGGAAGGCAAGGAGGAGCAAGUCACAUCUUACGUGGAUGGCGGCAGGCAAAGAGCGAGAUUGGGCAGGGAAACUCCCCCUAAUAUGAUACUGUCAGAUCUCGUGAGACUUACUCACUAUCACGAGAACAGCAUGGGAAAGACCUGCCCCAUGAUUCAAUUACCUCCCACCGGGUCCCUCCCACAGCAUGUGCAAAUUCAAGAUGAGAUAUGGGUGGGGACAAAAGACAGGCAGGAGUUCCGAGGAUGAGUAUUUGCAUUCUGUCCCUGAGUUUGCUGUAAAGGAGAGCAGCGAGACAGAGGCAUGGGGUGCGGAAUGGCGUGUUUAAGAUGGAGUGAUGACAGGUGCCCGUUGGAGUGAUGCAGUAGACAGGAUCUGAUGAUGGGGAGCAGGUGUCGUGUGCCCUUGAGCAGGAGCCCAGCAGAGAGACCCUUUUUCCUCCUGUAGCAGCAGAAGAGAAGGCAGCAGGGUGCAGGACUGAAGGAGGGCUGGGCUGGGCUGGGAUGGGAGCCUGGCUGGUUUUCCCCUGGUGGCCCUAUGACUGGUUAAGGGCAGGGCAGAGGCACGGCAGGUUGGAGGCACAGAAGGCCCAAGAUAGUUAUCUGGGCUGGAUGUGGGGCGGUAUUCUCGCCUCUCUGGGGACAUCCCUUAAGUGGACAGGAAGACUGGGUGGUUCAGGUGUAUGUCCACUCACCAAGAACACAGGAUGAAGGUGGGGCCUAGACAGUGGCUGUUUUGACCAGGGCAGAACAGUUGAGGGCAUGUGAGAGGGCCCAUGCUGACGCCAGACCUCAGUGGGGAGAGGGGAGAGUCCAGGGACCAGAGGUCCCCCUAGGCUUAAAGGACAAACCACAAGGAGAAGAGGAAGAAGUCUCUAUGUCAUUAAAGUUUCAUUAUCAGGGCUGCUAUAAUGCUUCUCAUUGCUUAUUAUAAAACCCAAUUCUGCAAGACCAGCCUAGCCAACAUGGUGAAACUCUGUCUACUAAAAAUAC